CUCCGUCCCAUUAAUAAUGGCACGUUUUCCUUUUUGGGUUGUCCCGCUAUUGAUGGCACGUUUCCUAUUUUGGAAAAAAUAAGGGAGUAAUUAAUGUUAAUUAAAACACUAAUUAAAAGUCUAAUUAAAACAACUUUAACACCUACCCUCACUCUAACUCUCUCUCUGCCGAUUACUCUCUUUUUCUCACCCUCGCCGCCUCACCCUCCUCCACGGCGACGGCGCGGCGACUCCGCGUCCACCCACCCUCCUCCGCCGCCUCCACCCUGUCUCAGCGCCGUGGGAGUGCGCGAUGGCGGAGUGCGCUGCCCACACCGACUUCACCACCUCCUAGCGCUCGUAGCAGCGGCGACGGCGGAGCAGCGGCGACGGCGGAGUGCUCCACAGACUCCAGCGACUUCACACCCCCCUCUGUAGAAGAACCGAGCCCUAGAUCCCCAAUUUUCCCACUCGAUUUCAGGUGACGAUAGACACGCCCCUGCCUCUCUCUCUCUCUCUUUCAGAUGGAUAGCAGCUAGUGAAUAUGGAAUUUCGAUUUUUUGUUUCUUGAUGGAUAGCAGAUGGUUCUUGAAUUUCUAUUUCAGAUGGAUAGCAGAUGGUUCUUGAAUUUCGAUUUUUUGUUUCUUGAUGGAUAGCAGAUGGUUCUUGAAUUUCUAUUUCAGAUGGAUAGCAGAUGGUUCUUCAAUUUCGAAUUUUUGUUUUGGAAUUUGUUGAUUUUUGGUUAUAGAAAUUGUUGGAAUUUUUAGUUUUGAGUAAUUUGAAUUUUUCA